ACGAGAGGCCCCAGUUGAUACAUUCGGCGUAAAGAGUGGUUAUGGGGACAUAACACUAAAGCCAAAGACCCCUCAAGCAGUCAUACGCACUCAGGAGUUCGAAGCACCAGCACGAAAGUCGCUUUACUUUACUCACCAGAACCCACGACAGCCGGGAGACAAACUGGGAUUAGAUACCCCACUAUGCCCCGCCGUAAACUUUGAUGCAUAAAUACAACAAACAUCCGCCAGGGGACUACGAGCGUCAGCUUAAAACCCAAAGGACUUGGCGGUGCUUCAAACCCCCCUAGAGGAGCCUGUUCUAGAACCGAUAAUCCCCGUUCAACCUCACCAUUUCUAGCUUUUCCCGCCUAUAUACCGCCGUCGCCAGCUUACCCUGUGAAGGUAUUACAGUAAGCAAAACAAGCACACCCUAAAACGUCAGGUCGAGGUGUAGCGCACGAAAUGGAAAGAAAUGGGCUACAUUAUCUGAAACAGAUUACCAACAAACGGUCUCCUGAAAUAAAGACCCGAAGGUGGAUUUAGCAGUAAAGAGAGAAUAGAGCGCCCUCUUGAAGCCGGCCCUGAAGCGCGCACACACCGCCCGUCACUCUCCCCGACAAUCAACCUUAACCCAAGUACUUCAACAAAACAAUAACAGCAAGGGGAGGCAAGUCGU
rnacentral:rRNA from 1 species